UUAACUGAAACCAAAAAGAGGUAUAUCACUGUUAAUGAUAAAAAUGAAUUCUAUUAUUCCAGUUAAA
rnacentral:tRNA from 1 species